GUGGGGAAUUGUUCGCAAUGGGCGCAAGCCUGACGACGCAACGCCGCGUGGAGGACGAAGAUCUUCGGGUCGUAAACUCCUUUCGAUCGAGAAGAAUGCCUUUGGGUUUAAUACGCCCGAAGGGUGACGGUAUCGAGAGAAGAAGCCCCGGCUAACUCUGUGCCAGCAGCCGCGGUAAUACAGGGGGGGCAAGCGUUGUUCGGAAUUACUGGGCGUAAAGGGCUCGUAGGCGGCCAACUAAGUCCGACGUGAAAUCCCCAGGCUUAACCUGGGAACUGCGUCGGAUACUGGUUGGCUUGAAUUCGGGAGAGGGAUGCAGAAUUCCAGGUGUAGCGGUGAAAUGCGUAGAUAUCUGGAGGAAUACCGGUGGCGAAGGCGGCAUCCUGGACCGACAUUGACGCUGAUGAGCGAAAGCUAGGGGAGCAAAC
rnacentral:rRNA from 1 species